rfam:Triticum aestivum genome assembly, contig: Triticum_aestivum_CS42_TGACv1_scaffold_000169_1AL
UACGUACUUCCUCCGUUCCGAAUUACUUGUCGCGGGUAUGGAUUUAUCUAGAUGUAUUUUAGUUCUAGAUACAUCCAUUUCUGUGACGAGUAAUUUGGAACGGAGGGAGUACUAU